rnacentral:rRNA from 1 species
CAGUCGCCGCGGUAAUACGAAGGGGGCUAGCGUUGCUCGGAAUCACUGGGCGUAAAGGGUGCGUAGGCGGGUUUUUAAGUCAGAGGUGAAAUCCUGGAGCUCAACUCCAGAACUGCCUUUGAUACUGGAAAUCUUGAGUAUGGGAGAGGUGAGUGGAACUGCGAGUGUAGAGGUGAAAUUCGUAGAUAUUCGCAAGAACACCAGUGGCGAAGGCGGCUCACUGGCCCAUAACUGACGCUGAGGCACGAAAGCGUGGGAAGCAAACAGGAUUAGAUACCCCAGUAGUCCCUGUCUCUUAUAC